UACGGAGGGUGCGAGCGUUGUCCGGAAUCAUUGGGCGUAAAGGGCGCGUAGGUGGCCCGGUCAGUUCGUGGUGAAAGCGCGGGGCUCAACCCUGCGUCGGCCAUGAAUACUGCCGCGGCUGGAGCACUGUAGAGGCAGGCGGAAUUCCGGGUGUAGCGGUGGAAUGCGUAGAGAUCCGGAAGAACACCGGUGGCGAAGGCGGCCUGCUGGGCAGUUGCUGACACUGAGGCGCGACAGCGUGGGGAGCAAACAGGGAU
rnacentral:rRNA from 1 species